AUGCACGCUGGCGGCGUGCCUAAUACCUGCAAGUCGAGCGAACAGACGAGGAGCUUGCUCCUCUGACGUUAGCGGCGGACGGGUGAGUAACACGUGGAUAACCUACCUAUAAGACUGGGAUAACUUCGGGAAACCGGAGCUAAUACCGGAUAAUAUAUUGAACCGCAUGGUUCAAUAGUGAAAGACGGUUUUGCUGUCACUUAUAGAUGGAUCCGCGCCGCAUUAGCUAGUUGGUAAGGUAACGGCUUACCAAGGCAACGAUGCGUAGCCGACCUGAGAGGGUGAUCGGCCACACUGGAACUGAGACACGGUCCAGACUCCUACGGGAGGCAGCAGUAGGGAAUCUUCCGCAAUGGGCGAAAGCCUGACGGAGCAACGCCGCGUGAGUGAUGAAGGUCUUCGGAUCGUAAAACUCUGUUAGUAGGGAAGAACAAAUGUGUAAGUAACUAUGCACGUCUUGACGGUACCUAAUCAGAAAGCCACGGCUAACUACGUG
rnacentral:rRNA from 1 species